rnacentral:rRNA from 1 species
UACGAAGGGGGCUAGCGUUGCUCGGAAUUACUGGGCGUAAAGCGCACGUAGGCGGCUUUUUAAGUCGGAGGUGAAAUCCUGGAGCUCAACUCCAGAACUGCCUUCGAUACUGAAGAGCUCGAGUCCGGGAGAGGUGAGUGGAACUGCGAGUGUAGAGGUGAAAUUCGUAGAUAUUCGCAAGAACACCAGUGGCGAAGGCGGCUCACUGGCCCGGUACUGACGCUGAGACGCGAAAGCGUGGG